rnacentral:rRNA from 1 species
AUUGAACGCUGGCGGCAUGCCUUACACAUGCAAGUCGAACGGCAGCACGGGAGCAAUCCUGGUGGCGAGUGGCGAACGGGUGAGUAAUAUAUCGGAACGUGCCCGGUCGUGGGGGAUAAUGUAGCGAAAGCUACGCUAAUACCGCAUACGAUCUACGGAUGAAAGCGGGGGAUCGCAAGACCUCGCGCGAUUGGAGCGGCCGAUAUCAGAUUAGGUAGUUGGUGAGGUAAAGGCUCACCAAGCCGACGAUCUGUAGCUGGUCUGAGAGGACGACCAGCCACACUGGGACUGAGACACGGCCCAGACUCCUACGGGAGGCAGCAGUGGGAACUUUGG